UGCACGUGCAUUGUUGUGCAACUGGUAACCCAAAAAUUAAAAUAUGGUUGUAAAUGCAUUUACCGGUCAUUCUGAUAUUAAUGCUCGCUAUGGGAACACAGGAUGGCCGGGCAGUGAUAGUUGUACAUUUCCAUCACUCGUUGUGUUGAUUUCAUCAUGUCCAUUAGGUGAUGUUUUUACACUAUAGAAUCAUAUUGCAAGUGCGCGCGCAUUUGCAAUAUGUUUCAAUGUGCAUUUACUAUAUGAAAUUUGACAUGCUCAAAAAUGCAAAAUUGACUGGUCUGAUGGACACAGGAUGGCCGAGCAGUGAUAGUUGUACAUUUCCAUCACUCGUUGUGUUGAUUUCAUCAUGUCCAUUAGGUGAUGUUUUUUCACUAUAGAAUCAUAUUGCAAGUGCGCGCGCAUUUGCAAUAUGUUUCAAUGUGCAUUUACCAUAUGAAAUUUGACAUGCUCAAAAAUGCAAAAUUGACUGGUCUGAUGAACACAGGAUGGCUGAGCAGUGAUAGUUGUACAUUUCCAUCACUUGUUGUGUUGAUUUCAUCAUGUCCAUUAGGUGAUGUUUUUUCACUAUAGAAUCAUAUUGCAAAUGCACGUGCAUUGUUGUGCAACUGGUAACCCAAAAAUUAAAAUAUGGUUGUAAAUGCAUUUACCGGUCAUUCUGAUAUUAAUGCUUGCUAUGGGAACACAGGAUGGCCGGGCAGUGAUAGUUGUACAUUUCCAUCACUCGUUGUGUUGAUUUCAUCAUGUCCAUUAGGUGAUGUUUUUACACUAUAGAAUCAUAUUGCAAGUGCGCGCGCAUUUGCAAUAUGUUUCAAUGUGCAUUUACCAUAUGAAAUUUGACAUGCUCAAAAAUGCAAAAUUGACUGGUCUGAUGAACACAGGAUGGCUGAGCAGUGAUAGUUGUACAUUUCCAUCACUCGUUGUGUUGAUUUCAUCAUGUCCAUUUGUUUAUGUUUUCUCACUUUUGCAAAGUCACUGUGCAUUUGCAAUAUGGUUCAAUGGGCAGGUACCAUCACGAAUUUGUCAUGCUAUAAAAAUCCUGCAGGAAUGUGAAAUUGACUGGCCCGAUGAACUCGGCAUGGCUGGGCAGUGAUUCUGGUUCAUCUCAAUGGCUCGUUAGGGUUGAUUUCAGAAUGUCACUUUUGGUGAUGGUACCUCACCGUUUAAACAUAUUGCUAAUGUACAAAAGUCAACUAGCAAGUCAGUGUCCACCAGUCAAUUAGAUGUCAUUCUGACACCAAACUGAUACAAAUUGACACUAAACCCACUUUUUCCAACCUGUUUAGUAGCCAACUAUCACACACUUCAGAGCUGGCCCAAAAUUCACAACGCCUUUGGUUCAAACCAUAAAAAAAACAUAAAACAUGUAGUUACGUUCUAGCUGCGGGUCCAUUUCUUAUGUUACGUGUAGGCCUAGCUGAGGCGACCCCGAAUCCUAAGUUUCGGCUCGAUCGGUCAUUUGGUGUCCGAGCAAAACCCUAAUUGGUGCUGAAAAUCCACUUUUUUCCAUGACUUGCUACGGGGUCCUUGAAUGAGCUAUCGGACAGAAACGUUGGGGUCUGUCUAUAUGGGCCGAGACGGUCGCAAUGCACCUAGUCUUGUGUCUCUGAGACAUUUCUAAAUGUCGCCAUUUUCGUAAUGGUCAAAAUGAAUUGAAGUCAUUGCAAAUGUACGAAGCUGUUUCUCGGUCCGAGAACCGUCUAGAGCCACGUAACUCACCACGCACUAUCGACCUGAGGUCUAGAACAGGAUUCUAAAGUUUCGGAACUCUAGGUCUGACGGUUCUUUUUUAGCUCGAACAAAGCUAACUAUUGGAGGCACUGUCUGUCUCUACAAACCCUAAUACGUCCCUCCUUCCAAGUUGUGUGUCUGUGUGAUUUAGUUUUCCUUUGAAAUUUUAUGGGAAAAAUGACUGA